rnacentral:rRNA from 1 species
UACAGAGGUCUCAAGCGUUGUUCGGAUUUACUGGGCGUAAAGCGCGCGCAGGCGGCUGUUCAAGUCCGAUGUGAAAGCUUCCGGCUUAACUGGAAAACGGCAUUGGAUACUGGACGGCUGGAAGGUGGGAGAGGGUAGCGGAAUUCCCGGUGUAGUGGUGAAAUGCGUAGAUAUCGGGAGGAACACCAGUGGCGAAAGCGGCUACCUGGCCCACUCUUGACGCUGAGGCGCGAAAGCCAGGGGAGCAAACGGG